rnacentral:lncRNA from 1 species
CACCCCCACCAAAGGGGAAGCUGUUGAACUGUGUUGGCCUCCAUCUACUGUACCAUGAAUCAUCUGUUACGGCAGUGCGCCACCCAGCUUUCUUUCAUUCUCAAUGACUCCUAGGCAUCUAAAGUAUGCUGGGUGCCCUCAGUGCACUGGAACAGAUAAGACAUAAACCAGCUUCUCAGGCAAACCCCCCAAAGCCCAAAUGUUGGAUGCACACUACUUCAACACUUUCCCUCCUUGGAGUCAAGUCAGAGUUGGAGUUUUCUUCCACUUGUUCCACGCUUAGAUGGGGAGAGGAGCUAUAGCAAAUAACUGAAGCUUAAUUGAUCAACUCAAGUGAUGCCUGGAGUUCUCAUCACAUUAAUCCUUUAGUAGUGGCUACAUUUAUGAGGUACCUCUGAAGCACAGAAUUCUACAAAGUGUUGGGAGAAUAUGUUUGAACACAUGGUCAAGUGUAACAAAGUGGUCACUGGUAUUUUUGACUCAAUGAAGAAGGCUCUACUAAGCAGGCUUAAACUUGAAGGUUGCGGAGGCUGGUGCUUGGAAUUGAGAUGUGCAAGAGGUCCCAACCUGGGAGAACCAAGUGAGAUGCCCUGAGGACAAGAAGGAGACUUUGGGCCCUUAGUGCCAGAGAAUUGUGUCCUGUUUCCAUGGAGCUACUGGGAGCUGUGGCAAGGCCCCUGAGAGAGCGGUACAGCAGUGCAAGAGGGAGUUCACACUAAGGGUCAUGGUUUUUGAAGCUGCAGCAAAAUAUCCUCAUGUUUGGUGAA